rnacentral:rRNA from 1 species
CCUACGGGUGGCAGCAGUGGGGAAUAUUGCACAAUGGGGGGAACCCUGAUGCAGCGACGCCGCGUGAGUGAAGAAGUAUUUCGGUAUGUAAAGCUCUAUCAGCAGGGAAGAAGAUGACGGUACCUGACUAAGAAGCCCCGGCUAACUACGUGCCAGCAGCCGCGGUAAUACGUAGGGGGCAAGCGUUAUCCGGAUUUACUGGGUGUAAAGGGAGCGUAGACGGCAGCACAAGUCUGGAGUGAAAUGCCGGGGCUUAACCCCGGAACUGCUUUGGAAACUGUGCAGCUAGAGUGCAGGAGAGGUAAGUGGAAUGCGUAGUGUAGCGGUGAAAUGCGUAGAUAUUAGGAGGAACACCAGUGGCGAAGGCGGCUUACUGGACUGUAACUGACGUUGAGGCUCGAAAGCGUGGGGAGCAAACAGGAUUAGAUACCCUUGUAGUC